GACGAACGCUGGCGGCGUGCUUAACACAUGCAAGUCGAACGAUGACGACCGAGCUUGCUCGGUCUGAUUAGUGGCGAACGGGUGAGUAACACGUGAGCAACCUGCCCUUCACUCUGGGAUAACCUCGGGAAAUCGGGGCUAAUACCGGAUAUGAGCUCCUGUCGCAUGGCGGGUGUUGGAAAGUUUUUCGGUGAAGGAUGGGCUCGCGGCCUAUCAGUUUGUUGGUGAGGUAGUGGCUCACCAAGGCGAUGACGGGUAGCCGGCCUGAGAGGGCGACCGGCCACACUGGGACUGAGACACGGCCCAGACUCCUACGGGAGGCAGCAGUGGGGAAUAUUGCACAAUGGGCGAAAGCCUGAUGCAGCGACGCCGCGUGAGGGAUGACGGCCUUCGGGUUGUAAACCUCUUUCAGCAGGGAAGAAGCGAAAGUGACGGUACCUGUAGAAGAAGCGCCGGCUAACUACGUG
rnacentral:rRNA from 1 species